AUGCCCACCAGGUUCCCACUGUGACCUGGCCCCCAAGGGGCAGGCCCCAGGUGCUGGCCCGGUGGGUUUUGGUCUGACGUUCAGCCACCAUGGUAUAUCUUCAGCAAAGGGACGCAGCUCACCGUCACAGGUGGGCCCAAGUCUGCGCCCUCAGUCACUCUGUUCCCGCCCUCCUCUGAGGAGCUCAGUACCAACAGGGCCACAGUGGUGUGUCUCAUCAGUGACUUCUACCCCAGCAACUUGACAGUGGUCUGGAAGGCGAACGGCACCCCCAUCACCCAGGGCGUGGAGAUCACCAAGCCCUUGAAACAGAGCAACAACAAGUACGCGGCCAGCAGCUACCUGACGCUGUCCCCUGCCACGUGGAAGUCUUACAGCAGCAUCAGCUGCCAGGUCACGCAUGAAGGGAGCACCGUGGAGAAGACAGUGGCCUCCUCACAGUGUUCUUAGGUCCCUGAGCCUGUCCUACCCUCAGGGGCCUGGAGCUGCAGGACACCUGCGAGGUCUCCCUCCAACCCCGUCAUCCUCCCUGCAACCCAAUCCAUUCUCAA